UUAGAAUAUCAGAUGGGUUGCAGAGAUAAAGAGGGGAAAUCACACCUAAUGAAAAUCUCUCUCCGCUUCUGUAUUUUGAUUACUUGCUGGAGGAUAAAUGGGUCGGUGGGUCCAACUCAGCUUCUAUAUACGUAAGUAUUUGUGGAACUACCUGGAGGCCUGGAAAUGCAUUCAGAGUGUUUGAGCCCAUAGGGAUGCCGAUGCGAGCCAUAUCCUUAAGCCAAAAAGGCAUAUAUGGUAGUUUCUUAAUUAAUCACGUGGCAAUUUGGUAAAUUGAGGGAAUUCCGGGCCGGCACUAUCCUCUCUCUGGUUCUCGUUGAGUCAACGUUGUCUCCAUCAGUAGUCAAGCUCUCAUCUCCCAACACUCUCUCGACUCUCGCCCUACAUCUAUCUGAACUUCCAAGGCAGGAGCAGGAGUAACAAAAGAUAAUGAUGACGGUUGACGACGACGACGAUGAAAAAAGAUGAAAAUCUCUCCUUCUCCCAGGAGGGAGAGAUCUCGCGCGCAAACUGAAUUUUUAAGAAGAGGAGGGAACUGAUGAGUGAGAAAGAAUAACGUGGCACGGCUCCAAUGCGUACUCCCCACCUGGGUGGCUGACUACGCGUCGAGCUUCUUCAUAGUUCAUUCAUUCAUCUCUGGGAACUGGGACUCUCCGUCCCUCAACACUUUAUUGCUGCUUACGUGUAGCAUUCGUCCUCUGCAGACCUGCUUUUCCAUGUUGGACCGAGUGCCCCAGGAUAUACACGUAAUGAAUUUUUCUGAAGAGCUAGUUGAAUAGUUAUGGGUGGAUGUGGCUGAGUUUACGUUUAUGCACGAUUUAAAACAAAAAGAUGGGUUUUGAA